AUACCGUGAAACUGCGAAUGGCUCAUUAAAUCAGUUAUCGUUUAUUUGAUAGUACCUUACUACUUGGAUACCUGUGGUAAUUCUAGAGCUAAUACAUGCUAAAAACCCCGACUUCGGAAGGGGUGUAUUUAUUAGAUAAAAAACCAAUGCCCUUCGGGGCUCCUUGGUGAUUCAUAAUAACUUCUCAGAUCGCAUGGCCUUGCGCCGGCGACGGUUCAUUCAAAUUUCUGCCCUAUCAACUUUCGAUGGUAAGGUAUUGGCUUACCAUGGUUUCUACGGGUAACGGGGAAUUAGGGUUCGAUUCCGGAGAGUUAGCCUGAGAAACGGCUAACACAUCCAAGGAAGGCAGCAGGCGCGCAAAUUACCCAAUCCUGAUACAGGGAGGUAGUGACAAUAAAUACUGAUACAGGGCUCUUUUGGGUCUUGUAAUCGGAAUGAGUACAAUUUAAACCUCUUAACGAGGAACAAUUGGAGGGCAAGUCUGGUGCCAGCAGCCGCGGUAAUUCCAGCUCCAAUAGCGUAUAUUAAAGUUGUUGCAGUUAAAAAGCUCGUAGUUGAACCUUUGGCCUGGCUGGCAGGUCCGCCUCACCGCGUGCACUUGUCCGGCCGGGCCUUUUCUUCUGGAGAACCGCAUGCCCUUCACUGGGUGUGUUGGGGACCAGGACUUUUACUUUGAAAAAAUUAGAGUGUUCAAAGCAGGCCUUUGCUCGAAUAUUACAGCAUGGAAUAAUAAAAUAGGACGUGCGGUUCUAUUUUGUUGGUUUCUAGGACCGCCGUAAUGAUUAAUAGGGACAGUCGGGGGCAUCAGUAUUCAAUUGUCAGAGGUGAAAUUCUUGGAUUUAUUGAAGACUAACUACUGCGAAAGCAUUUGCCAAGGAUGUUUUCAUUAAUCAGUGAACGAAAGUUAGGGGAUCGAAGACGAUCAGAUACCGUCGUAGUCUUAACCAUAAACUAUGCCGACUAGGGAUCGGGCGGUGU
rnacentral:rRNA from 1 species